CGUAGGGUGAACCUGCGGAGGGAUCAUUAGCGAGUUAAUUACAAACUCCAAAACCCCUGUGAACUUACCUAUGUUGCCUUGGCAGGUCGUGGUGUGUAGCGUGAUCGCUAUAAGGGAUCACCGCCUCGCACCACGCUGAAAGACCUGUCAAAGGACCCCUAAACUCUGUCUUACAACUGUAUCUCUGAGUCUAUUAUAUAAACAAGUUAAAACUUUCAACAACGGAUCUCUUGGCUCUGGCAUCGAUGAAGAACGCAGCGAAAUGCGAUAAGUAAUGUGAAUUGCAGAAUUCAGUGAAUCAUCGAAUCUUUGAACGCACAUUGCGCCUGAUAGUAUUCUGUCAGGCAUGCCUGUUCGAGCGUCAUUUCAACCCCCAAGCCCUAAUCUGCUUGACGUUGGGAGUUUACGGAGACGUAAUUCCUCAAAUAUAGUGGCGGAGCUAGGUCGUGCUCUAAGCGUAGUAACCACACUCUCGCUUCUGCAGCCGGCCUAGGUCUUGCCGUAAAACCCCUAUAUUUAUUUUUUUACUGGUUGACCUCGGAUCAGGUAGGAAUACCCGCUGAACUUAAGCAUAUCAAUAAGCCGGA
rnacentral:rRNA from 1 species